GUGAGGAAUUUUCCGCAAUGGGCGAAAGCCUGACGGAGCAAUGCCGCGUGAAGGAUGAAGGCCUAUGGGUUGUAAACUUCUUUUCUUAGAGAAGAAUAUUGACGGUAUCUGAGGAAUAAGCAUCGGCUAACUCUGUGCCAGCAGCCGCGGUAAGACAGAGGAUGCAAGCGUUAUCCGGAAUGAUUGGGCGUAAAGCGUCUGUAGGUGGCUUCAAAAGUCUCCUGUCAAAGCUCAGGGCUUAACCCUGGGCCGGCAGGAGAAACUCUGAGGCUAGAGUUUGGUAGGGGCAGAGGGAAUUCCCGGUGGAGCGGUGAAAUGUGUAGAGAUCGGGAGGAACACCAAAGGCGAAAGCACUCUGCUGGGCCACAACUGACACUGAGAGACGAAAGCGAGGGGAGCAAAAGGGAUUAGAAACCCCGGUAGUCC
rnacentral:rRNA from 1 species